AGCUCCAAUAGCGUAUAUUAAAGUUGUUGCGGUUAAAAAGCUCGUAGUUGGAUCUCGGCAAGCAGGGGGUGGUUCGUUAUCUGACGCAACUGCCCCAUUGUUUGUGUUCUCUGACGGAGGUCUGGGGGUGUUCUUUACCGAGUGUCCUCAGGCGCCGUCAACUUUACUUUGAAAAAAUUAGAGUGCUCAAAGCAGGCUAUCACGCUUGAAUAUCUGUGCAUGGAAUAAUGGAAUAGGAAGUCGUUUCUAUUUUGUUGGUUUUCGGAAAUUGACUUAAUGAUUAAUAGGGACAGCCGGGGGCAUUAGUAUUCGGACGACAGAGGUGAAAUUCUUGGACCGUCUGAAGACUAACUACUGCGAAAGCAUUUGCCAAGAGUGUUU
rnacentral:rRNA from 1 species